UGGGGAAUAUUGCACAAUGGGGGAAACCCUGAUGCAGCGACGCCGCGUGAGCGAAGAAGGCUUUCUAGUCGUAAAGCUCUGUCCUAUGAGAAGAUAAUGACGGUAUCAUAGGAGGAAGCCCUGGCUAAAUACGUGCCAGCAGCCGCGGUAAUACGUAUGGGGCGAGCGUUGUCCGGAAUUAUUGGGCGUAAAGGGUACGUAGGCGGUUUUUUAAGUCAGGUGUCAAAGCGUGGAGCUUAACUCCAUUAAGCACUUGAAACUGAAAGACUUGAGUGAAGGAGAGGAAAGUGGAAUUCCUAGUGUAGCGGUGAAAUGCGUAGAUAUUAGGAGGAAUACCGGUGGCGAAGGCGACUUUCUGGACUUUUACUGACGCUCAGGUACGAAAGCGUGGGGAGCAAACAGG
rnacentral:rRNA from 1 species